GGAGAACGGGUGAGUAACACGUGGGUAAUCAAGCCCAUCGACACGUGGGAUAGCCCGGGGAAACCCGGAUUGAAUCACCGGAUGGCCCUUUGGAUCCUCGGAUCUGAAGGAAAAGGUCAGCUUCGGCCUCUGGUCUGGAGGCACGAGCCCGCGGCGGAUUAGCUUGUUGGUGGGGUAAAGGCCUACCAAGGCGACGAUCCGUAGCUGGUCUGAGAGGACGAUCAGCCACACUGGGACUGAGACACGGUCCAGAUUCAUACGGGAGGCAGCAGUGGGGAAUCUUGCGCUAAUGCGGGAAACCGUGACGCAGCGACAGCCUGACGUGAGGGAAUGAAGGCCUUCGGGUCGUAAACCCUCUUUCAGGAAGGGACGAAGCUACUCGGGUGAAUAGCCCAGAGGGUGACGGUACCUCCCAGAAUGAAGCCCCAGGCUAACUACGUGCCAGCCGCCGCGG
rnacentral:rRNA from 1 species